UCGUCAGGUAGGAUAACACUUACCUGUUCCUCCUUUUUGAGGGCAGAUUGCGACAUGAUAAUUGGAGUUCACAUGACUCAUGAUUAGCAUUUCUGUGCAAUCAGGACUUGCAACACCCUGGUUGCUCCUAUAUGAU